UACGUAGGGUGCGAGCGUUGUCCGGAAUUAUUGGGCGUAAAGGGCUCGUAGGCGGUUUGUCGCGUCGGGAGUGAAAACACUGGGCUUAACUCAGUGCUUGCCUUCGAUACGGGCAGACUAGAGGUAUGCAGGGGAGAACGGAAUUCCUGGUGUAGCGGUGAAAUGCGCAGAUAUCAGGAGGAACACCGGUGGCGAAGGCGGUUCUCUGGGCAUUACCUGACGCUGAGGAGCGAAAGUGUGGGGAGGCGAACAGG
rnacentral:rRNA from 1 species